GUUUAAAAAAAACUUUACAUUUUCAUUGUAAAAAUAAAAAAAUUUUUUUUAUAAAUA
rnacentral:tRNA from 1 species